UGAGUUUGAUUCUGGCUCAGGACGAACGCUAGCGGCAGGCCUAAUACAUGCAAGUCGAACGGUAAGGUCCCUUCGGAGAUACACGAGUGGCGCACGGGCGCGUAACGCGUAUACAACCUACCCUUUAGAGGGGGACAACUUCUGGAAACGGAAGCUAAUACCCCAUAUGCACUUAGAAUCGCAUGAUUUCGAGUGGAAAACUCCGGUGCUAAAGGAUGGGUAUGCGUGACAUUAGCUAGUUGGUGAGGUAAAGGCUCACCAAGGCAACGAUGUCUAGCUGGUCUGAGAGGAUGAUCAGCCACACGGGCACUGAGACACGGGCCCGACUCCUACGGGAGGCAGCAGUAAGGAAUAUUGGUCAAUGGGGGCCACCCUGAACCAGCCAUGCCGCGUGCAGGAUGACGGCCCUCUGGGUUGUAAACUGCUUUUAUUUGGGGCUAAUUGUGUGCUAUACGCACGCUUGCAGGUACCAUUUGAAUAAGCACCGGCUAACUACGUGCCAGCAGCCGCGGUAAUACGUAGGGUGCAAGCGUUGUCCGGAUUUAUUGGGUUUAAAGGGUGCGC
rnacentral:rRNA from 1 species